CUCUGCCCACAGGUUCCUGCUCUGCCUGUCCUCCCACUGGUCAGCAUCUUCGUGAAUGUUUACCUGAUGAUGCAGACGACCUCUGGGACCUGGGCCCUGUUUGGCAUCUGGAAUGCCAUUGGAUUUCUCAUAUACUUUGGAUACGGGAUUCGACACAGCCUGGCAGGGAGCAAUCAUCAACAGCCACCGGCCACCAGCCUCCACCUCCCAGACUCUUGAAAAAAGCAUCCCCGGUGCUGAGUCAUCUUAACCACAGGAAGUAGAUGCUGCAUGGAAUCCCUCCUUGCCCUGGAGGAUCUGCUGGUUCAAGGGACACCUGAGCCUCUGUGGAGUGUGAAGGUGGUGACAUCUAAAGCCCUGUGUUUAUUGCUAGUGGACAAAGUGACUGGACCAUUGUGCAAUUUUCAGUAAACUUUUAAAAGCGUACUAUACAUACUUCUAAGUGCAUGCUUCAUAAGUGUGCAGCAAGAUGAAUUUUCACAAACAAAGUACCACAAUGUAACCAGCAAGUAGAGGAAGAAAUAAAUUAUUAAUGGGCAUAUUA